GACAGAGGAGCCAAGCGUUGUCCGGAUUGACUGGGCGUAAAGCGCACGCAGGCGGUCGCGCGCGUGGGGUGUGAAAUCUGGCCGCUUAACGGCCAGGCGCCAUCCCAUACGGCGCGACUGGAGUGAUGCAGAGGUCGAUGGAAUUGCCGGUGUAGUGGUGAAAUGCGUAGAGAUCGGCAGGAACACCCAGGGGGGAAACCAGUCGACUGGGCAUCUACUGACGCUGAGGUGCGAGAGCG
rnacentral:rRNA from 1 species